rnacentral:lncRNA from 1 species
ACUGAACUUCAGCAAGCUAACAGAGGAAACUGGGGAUAAGGAGAAGAAGCACUUGCUCUGCCUUGAGGACCAAAGGAGGAAAAACAGCGAGUAGAGAGAAUAUUUCACAAGUGGGAUGCAAUACAUGUGUGGCAGUAUGUUAUCUUCCACUGCGGACAGAUGCUGCUCUACUGCUGACGACUUUACUGGUAUGGAUCCGCACCAAUCAAAAGAAUGUAAAUUGCCUUGUAUGAGUAAGACCACAACAGAGAAAGGAGAACUGAUUAUCUUUCUUGUGAUGCCUGAAUGUCUGUAUGUCUCUUUGUUUAUUUUAUUUAUCAAAACAAGUCAUCUUUCCAAAUCUUCAAAAAUUGCAAUGUAAAGGAAAUAAAAGAAACAUUAUAUAUUUG